rnacentral:rRNA from 1 species
ACGUCAAGUCAGCAUGGCCUUUAUGUCUGGGGCUACACACACGCUACAAUGGCCAGUACAAUAGGUUGCAAGACCGCGAGGUGGAGCCAAAUCCCUUAAAAGACUGGUCUCAGUUCGGAUUGCAGGCUGCAACUCGCCUGCAUGAAGUCGGAGUUGCUAGUAACCGCGCGUCAGCCAUAGUCGCGGUCGAAUACGUUCCCGGGCCUU